rnacentral:lncRNA from 1 species
GUAUAUAGAUUAAGAGACUUGACAUUGACAUACAUGUCUUUUGUCUUUUUUCUUUUUUUUUUGUCUUUUUAGUGCCACACCCACGGCAUAUGGAACUUCCCAGGCAAGCCGUCGAAUCAGAGCUACAACUGCCGGCCUGCACCACUGCCACAGCAAUGCAGGAUCUGAGCCUCAUCCGUGACCUGCUCCACAGCUGGUGGCAACACUGGAUCCUUAACCCACCGAGGGAGGCCAGGGAUCGAACCCACAUCCUCAUGGGCACCAUGUCAGGCCCUUAACCUGCUGAGUCACAACAGGAACUUGGAUAUACAUGUCUUUACCUAUCCAUGAAAAAUAAUGGACAUGCUAAAGGCUUGCACAUUUCAGAUUAGUCUAAAUUUUUCCUUAAAAGACCUUGGACAUUUUAGCAGUACUUGCUCUCCAUAGCCACUAGUUAUUUUCAUGUGGCCUUGUUUCUAAGGCCUAAGAAAAGGAAUUAAAAUUGAAGGUAGUGGUAGGGAAAAGUAUGUUAAAAAUGUUUUUUCUCAUUUGGAUGACAAACUAGAAACAACUCCAUCCUACACAUUCAUGAACCCAGUUCCACCCUCAAAGGAGAGAGUCUGUGGAUUUCAGGCCACAUCUCGUGAUUAUCCAUGUGAAGUUAAACAUUGCCACCAGGAAAUGCCAGGAAGUAUCAUCACUGGGCAAGCGAGCAAGAAGCAAAUAGAAAACCAAACCACCUUUCUUCACCAGUUGCAAAUACUUUCAUCACUAGCAGCAAAAGUUGGCCGAUGCUUUCAAAUGCUUUCUUCAUACAUUUAAACUUCAACACAAGCUUCUUUGCAAUACAUGGUUUGAAAUCUCAAAAUGAAGUUUCUGAGCCAAUGGAAGAGAGGGUGCAAUAUGCCCUUCUGUUUUUUUCUGCUGUGAAACUGCUGUAGGAUUUGAGACACAAAACACUGUCAUGGGACAGUAUAACAAUUGGAAGAAAGUGCUGAAAACUGUGUUUUCUUUUUCAUCGUUUUUGACCUGAGCUAUAGUUGAAAGCUUUGGCAGUAGAUGUGUGUUUUGUUGAACGAUCACUGCAAUCGUUUCUAAAUUUAAAAACAGGAAUAAUUCUGACUAGGGUGGUUUUUCCAUCCUUUAUUCAGACAUAAAAUGAGUUUGAGAAUAAGAGAAAGCAGCUUUUUCACUUUGCCGUAUGUUAGGAAUGUCAUUAUAGGCUUCACACUAGAUUAGCUUUUCUUUACUUGCUCUUUAGUUAAACAUGAUGCCAUCAGAACGAAGGGAUUUUAGUGACUGCCCAAAUGCACAUUCCAAGCAAAAGUGGCCGUGAAAUGAACACCAAAUAGCUGAUGGCCCCUUACUUCCUUUUAUGUGGGUUGAUUGGCUGUUUCGGAUGUUAGUACUUUUGGGGUGUUUUGUUUUGUUUUAUUCAGAACUUAACUUGAAAAGAUGAUAUUAAAGUUCCCGCUUUUCUUCUUUUUCUCUGUUACUUAUUUUGACUUAUUACUAAUGUAGUUAGUGGCCCAGUUAUGUUUCUCUUUUUAACAAAAAUAUUUAAAGCAAACUGAUUCUAGCUGUAAGACAUUUAAAUUUAUAGUUUUCUGUUUAAGAGAAGAUUGUGAAAAUAUGGAAAAGGAGAGAUUGAAGGCAGGAAAAAUUACCCUGUGUGAAGGAUUUGGUAUGAGUGGCACUGCUAGCUUGCAGAUACAAUUUCUGGGUUUCUUUCAGCUGGCAAUGCCACUUAAAAGAAGGAGAGCAAAAACAUAUACCAUUUAGGGCAGCAGUUUAGACUCUGCCUCUAGUUUUCCAAUCAAAGUGGCAGAAAGACCCUGGCACGUUAUUAACAUCCUCAGGCUCAGGGAACUAAAAGUUAUGACUGGUACAGUGCUCUAAACUGUAGUUGAAAAAAUAUCUUUUCUGCUACAUUUUAGGGUAAGAGGUUGUCUUGCUUCCUUGUGGGCAUUCCUAAGGAUCUGGUAAUUUAAUAAAUCAAAAUAAAUAAGCCUUAAAAGAUAGAGUGAUAUUCUACUAUGGAGAAUGACCUCUAAACUCAUAUUUUCAGCUUGAAGACAGGCAAGACCCAAUCGCAAAAAAUGAAUUAUAGGCACAUAGCAACAAAAAUCACAUAUUUAUCUGUGCCUACAACAACUUCCUCGUUAAAAAAAAAAUCAAAAAGUGUUUUUUCUUAACAUUUUCUGCUCUUUGUAAAUGUUAACUUGCCUACUAAAUACUCUGAAGAAGGUUUCGUGGUAAUUUGCUCUCUUGCCUUCCCUACUCCUGCUAAGUCAAAUUGUAUUCCCUGUCUUCUGUGAAAAUUACAAGUCAGUAAGUCUACCCUGAAGGACCAUGGGACUCUAGGCCACACAGGCCUUGACUGUAAUUCAAGCUCUGCCACUCACCAGUAACAGUGAUGCUCAUCCAUGAAAUGGGAAGAAUAACUACCUCAUAGGAUUACUAUGAGGAUUAACUGAGAGAACAUUCAUGAAGCUCCCAGCCCUGGUGUGUCUCACAAAACAGGUGCUCAUAGAGCUAAUUCCUUUCCCGCCCAUUCUGCAUCGGUCUCCCUUCUCUGACCCCCCACCUCCACCCUCCCCCUCAUCUCUAAAUAAGGCAUACAUCCUGGCAGGAGCAUUAGCAUGAAUGCCCUGAUGCAUUUGUUACUGAACUAACUCAGCAGUGAACUUGGCAUUCCAUCCCCAGCCUUUCCCCAUCAUUAAUCCCCUUGGGCAACUCCCCGUCGUCGUACGAGAGUACACCAGGACACUGGGAACUCUGAAAGCAGCCACUGUGCACGUGAGCAUUUUUCUACCAGGCUUUCAGCUGGUCUCAUCCAGCCUCAGAGACCAGACUGAGCUCAUGAUAUUCACAGUUAACUGACUCUGGCCAUGUGGCCUCUGCCAUCAAGAUCUGCCACAAGGAGGACAGCCGUUCAGUAAAAUCUUAAGGCUAUUUAUAGCCCAUUUAAAACAAACACUCCCCGUGAAGCCAGAGGAGUCCUCCUUGAGAACACAGAGAGUAAUUCACUAAUCUCAGGACCAAACUAGGGCAAUUGAAGGGUGGAAAAUGUGGUUUAGUACAUUUUUUUUCCAGCCCCCUACACUUUACAAAGCAUUUGCUCCUACACAUUGUCCUAUUUCAUCCUUAUGCUGACCCACAAGGCAGCCAAAGCAGACAGUGACAACAAAUCCCCAUUUUAUAGGUUCCCAAACUGAUGCUAAGGAGGUUAGCUAAAUCAUGUUACAUGGCUGGAGAAGGAGGGGAAAGGAGAGUGGUAAAGAGGAAGAGUGAUUUCCUAUUGGUGCAAUCAGUCUGAACAUCAGUGCAUAAUUGUGGACCCGUAAGAAAAAAAAAUACACAACGAAGAGAAAUAAUGUUUCAUCAUGUUCAGGCAAGCUUAAACAUUGUUUUUUUCUUCACUUCUGAUGGGAAAGCCAAACUAUAAGAAAUAAAAACCUAGAGAGACUCUACAGAGAAACAUUUGUAAACAUGUUUGUAUCUGUCUAGAACAUCUCCAUGCAGAAUAGUUACAUUUUAGCCAAGAAAUGCCUUCUUGAAAUCUCUCCAAAUUAAAAUAUGCAGAAGUCAGGACUAAUCUCGAAAACAAAGAAGGAAUUUUUAUGAGAAAUUUUAAUUGAUUUUGCCAGUCAUCUCUGAUAUAAAUACCUCUUUACUGUCUUUUUAAUAUGAGGGAGUUUGCAGAGUUCAAGUAUUGCACGAAAAGCAAGACAUAAUGCAAAUGAAUUUAUGGACCAGAAAUGAUUUUUUUUUUCUUAAAAGAAUUAUUUCAAUUUUGGCAAACACUUUCGUUUUCUAAGAUCUGGGUUUAAACUGUGUUACCUGGAAAGAGGAUGCAAAGACUUUUUGGCUCAGUCUUUUUGGCUGAGCAAUUAAAAUUGUGUGUGUGUGUGUGUGUGUGUGUGUGUGUGUGUGUGUGUGACAGAGAGAGAGAGAGAUUAUUGCUUCAAGAGUGCCUCUGGGCUAGCAGGUUGGCUCCGAGCCAUUUGGGGAUUCUCAGAUUUACUGCUUCUCUGACUAUUGUUGCAGCUGUGAUUUACGGAGUUCAGAGUCUCUUGAAAGGCAAGACGUCUGAAGUUUAGAGUCUUUCCUUGACAGAACCUCCUCUUCCCCAUAUACUGCUUUUGCCGGUGUUCACCUUGCGGUGACCUUGCAGGACUCAGCAUUUUUACCUGAGCUCAGGAGCCAGGAGCCCACUCGUGCUGGGGCGAGGGCAGCAGUUUCCAUUCCUGGGUGAUGGAGUCAUGGGAGAAACUGCAGCGAACCAACAGAGAGUAGGACCCGAGCAGCGAGCGAGCCAGCCGGCUCCACUGUGCUUGAAGCGGCUCAGGACAGCACAGCCGCUGCCUCUCCCAGCCUGCAAGUGCAGCCUGCAUUUGUCACUGACCUCUGAAGUGUGUGUUUGUGUACGGUGAGAACUGGGUACUUUUGCGUUCAUUUGAAGACAAACUGCCAGGUAUGGCUGUUGAUUGUGUUUGAGAAGCUGGGGAUGGUUGUGUCACCACCAGUUCAGGAUCUCGACUGUGUGUGGUUUUAUUUAUACCCUUGUUUUCUGUCCUGAUCCAUUCAGCGCUGCUCAGUGUCCAAGUGACGGCAGCAGAUUGGACACACUGCUGCUCUUACACCGAAGUGUGAUCAGUCUGGUGCCGGUUUCUUGAAUUCUUUCACUGAUGGCUGAUGCCAGAUGAUAGAGCUGUUCAUAGACCGAAUUCCGGUGCUGAUGGGAAAGCUCGUAGAAACCGCUUCAGAGAUAAAACCGAAUGGCUCUUUUCUGGCAGACUUGCUGUGGUGCGUCUUGGCUUUACUGCUAUUUUAGUGGUUGAGACUCUGAAGAGAGCAGAGCGCCUUAGGGUCUCAUCUGGUGAUAAAAGUAACAAGGGAGUUUUCCAUGCUUUUGCUUGUCACGGCGAAAACUUCUGCGGGACCAGUGGGUCUGUAUGUGUGUGUGUGUGUGUGUGAUUUAAAAAAACUGUUUGAGAACCAGAAGAAAACCAAAUAAUACUUUGCUGUAUUUUGACUUAUGAUUAAUUCAGCCAGCUUCCAGAGCUUUUGUUAUCAGCCUCUUUGAGCUUAGGAAUGUCAUAUUUUGUGGACACAAGGGCUAUACAACCACAGUGUCCCUUCGCGAAGCCUGUGGGGACAUGGAGGGUGUGCUCACUAGGAGUAAAAUAGGAAUCCAAAAUGGGCUCGUGGCUAAGCUGACAGGCCUUAACGCUGUGCCAGUUCUGUAUCUUAGUCCUUAACCAAAUCCAAAGGCGAUGCUGUGUGUUAUUAUGUCUAAAUAGAUACACAGGAGAUUUGUAUUCCUGAAACACAUGCUCUAAAAAAAGGAAAACCUGGGAAUUUGGUACUGUAAAAAUAGGAUGAGCAAAAGUUCGAAAAGCCAUCAGAUGUUACCAGAGGGGGAAAAAUAAGACAUUAAAAUGAGGAAUAAUUACAAUGGAAUAUGAAAAGUGCUUCAACUGCUCCAAUUUUUAAGUCUAGUGAAAGAAUAAUAAUGUAUUUAAGGAAAUUCUGAGUCAGCAGAAAUGAAGCCAAGAGCAAAAAUUCUUACUAAAACAGACUGUCAACCUGUGGAAUGCAUUUGUCUUAAUCAAAUUGAGUUCUGUUGCCUAGACGGACAAAAUUAGAAUUCUUAAGCAACGUAAAGCUUAACAUUUUAUUUAAAAUUGGGUAGGCUUUGAAAACCAAUAUAGUAACAAAAGAUAUGUUAAAAUGCAAUGAACAUUAAAAUUAUUCAAAACACUUAAGAGAUAACCUACAAUAUCAAAGUUAUUUGUUGCGUUUUUGAAUUACGUCUGUUUAGGAAGAGUCUAAUACUUUACCCUAGACGGUCACCCGUGGC